rfam:TPA: Bos taurus chromosome 20, whole genome shotgun sequence.
UCCCUGGUGGCUCAGAUGGUAAAGCAUCUGCCUACAAUGCAGGAGACCUGGGUUCAAUCCCUGGGUCGGGAA